AUGGAGGAGAAGCAAAUGCUGCUCAUGAUGCUCAUCACAGUUUCAGGUGGAUUUGCAGAUAAAAUUGGACCAAAAGAUGGAAAUACUAAUGUAAUCAAAGAAGAAGGAGAGUCUGUGACACUGAGCUGCACAUAUGAAACUAACAGCAAUGAUAUUUGGCUUUACUGGUACAGACAGUAUCCAAACAGAGAACCAGAAUAUUUACUGCGCAAAGGUGCUCGAUCACGGAGCAGUGAGGAUAUACCAGACGGUUUUCAGUCGACUACAUCCCAAUCAUCCACUGAACUCAUUAUUAACAGUGUGACUCUGUCAGAUUCAGCUCUCUAUUAUUGUGCUCUAAGAGUAGCAGCCCAGUGA